CAGGCGAAAUGAAAGUGACACAAUACUUGAAAGAGUGUAAUGCUCUUUGGGCUGAUCCUCGACCGGCUGUGGGCAGAUUGGUUAUAUGGGCGAGAGAAGUGGGUGGGUGAGUCCCUUUCCCCAUUUCACCUCUCGUCUGUCCUUUUUGUCUUGUACGAAGGUCUUUGCUCCUUCGGGAGGGGGCGCAAGCCCGGGACUUGCCAUAUGACGCGCUGCAUUUGCAAUGCUUCCGCAUUUUUCUUUUUUUUCCCCCCC
rnacentral:rRNA from 1 species